GUGACUAUGGUCAUGAAUACACCUCGGUCAAGGGACAAGGAAGGGAUUGGCCCUCAGCCAAUGGGAGCUGACAUGACCAUAUACAACCACAGUUCAGAUUUAACUUUGGUAUGAAUGGACCCCUGCCGGAGGGCAAAUUGGUUUGAUCCUCCUUGAAGCAGUAGAUCUGCAGCUGGGGACUCUUUCCUUGAGAUGCCACCCAAGCAAACUCCUCAGUGUUGAGAGCCCUCAUCUUAUAGAGCUUCACAGCUUAUUUGAAGUAGUCACUCAUUACUUCUCCAGCACAGAUGCAGGUUUUACAGCCCCACCUGGGACACCAUUCUGCAAUAUUACAGGGAAAGGACAAGGAUGAAGAUAAUCAGUGGCAUCACUGGCACCACCCCUGAAUAACAAUCUGUUGCUCCUCUGCUACCCAGUAGGUGAAAUUGCUGAAAAACUUAACUGAGCCAAUACCCAGGAAGUUAAAUACAUUAUAAUCUGUAUCAAUUUUCAUAUUUUAGGCACAAAAUGUUCCCUGUUAUUUCUC
rnacentral:lncRNA from 1 species